rnacentral:tRNA from 1 species
CACUAAAAAGCUAAACUGGGAGUAGCGUUAGCCUUUUAAGCUAAAAACUGGUGACCCCCUACCACCUUUAGUGA